CACACACACAUGCGUGUGUGGGGGCGCUGGAAAAUUCCUGGUUUUGGGCGAAAGAAAAUACAGGAGGAUCAGUUAAUUAUAAUUUUAUUCAACAUAUUCCCCUCUCAGAUUCACACAUUUAU